rnacentral:rRNA from 1 species
ACGUUAGCGGCGGACGGGUGAGUAACACGUGGGUAACCUACCUAUAAGACUGGGAUAACUCCGGGAAACCGGGGCUAAUACCGGAUAAUACAUGAAACCGCAUGGUUUCAUGAUGAAAGACGGUUUUGCUGUCACUUAUAGAUGGACCCGCGGCGUAUUAGCUAGUUGGUAGGUAACGGCUUACCAAGGCAACGAUACGUAGCCGACCUGAGAGGGUGAUCGGCCACACUGGAACUGAGACACGGUCCAG